CAAUUUGUCAAUUCAAUACCAAAUAUUUUUUGCAACGUUUGUCGGUAUAAUCUUAGAGUAUAAAUAACUAAUAAACCUAAAACUGCUCUCACUGAAAAUAAUAAUCAUGAUGACACAGAGACAACUUUAAGAUGUCUAAUAAGAGGAUGAGACAAAUUUUAUUUUGUCUCCGACCCAAGUUUUCUUAAAUAAAUAAGACGUACAGAUGUUGGUCCAGGAGUCAAAGAAAAUUUGUGUUCUUUUUGUCAUCACUUUUGUCAAGCCUUUUAAGCAGAUAUUCUUUCGGUGACAAAAAUUUCUGAUUCAUUUAUUAUUUACCAGAAUAUACAAUAUUCACAUACAAACAUAAUACAUAUAAAUACAUGAUAUAUAAAUAUGUACCUAUAGAGGCGCGUACACCUGUACAUAGGCCUGGCAAUUAAUUUAUACAUAAAAUUAAGCUUAAUCCAAGUCAUUCAAUUUAAAAAUUUGAGAAAAGAAAAGUAAAGAAAGGUAAAGAGUGAGAAAUUAAGAAAUAUGAUCUAACGCAACCGGUAGUUCAUUAGUGUUUUAUUGCAACAAUAUAAGAGUUUUUGAAAGUUAUGGAUUUGUUAACUUUGGGUGAUGGAAUACUUUUGUUUCUAGUUUUUCCUUUGUUAUUCUCAUACAAAAGUUUACAAUUGCUAUAAUGAUAACUCAAGGACUCAAGAGUAAAGGUAUCUUUUAUUCCUAGAACACGGUUGUCCUCAGAGAAGAUAUCAAUGAGUUUAUUUUGGAUUCUUGCUAGGGUAGCAGUGGUGGUUUUAUGAUUAUUUCGUCAACAUUUUGGUUUAUUGAUAGGUCAAAAAACAGCCUCAAUACUGAUAUCUUUUGGUCACAAAGCCAAGUGUGCUACUCGGUACAAAAUAAAAAUUUAAAAAUGCGUUCUUAGACAAUUGAAAAAUCAGUCCGCGCAUUUUUUUAAAUUUCAUUAUUUCAAUUAAUUAAUUUAUUUAUUUAAAAUUUAUAAAUUGUCUCAUGUCUACUACAUUCACAGUCAUAAGAAUUAAAUAUAUAAAUAUGGGAGUUUAUGAAAGCGCAUACCUGCAUACUGAGCACAAAAUUUAUUCAACCCAAAAUAUUUAAUAAUAGCGACAAUUGGAUAUGAGAAUGCAGAUACCAUGAGAGA